rnacentral:rRNA from 1 species
CCUACGGGUGGCAGCAGUAGGGAAUCUUUCACAAUGGGCGAAACCCUGAUGGAGCAACGCCGCGUGCACGAUGAAGUCCUUCGGUAUGUAAAGUGCUAUUAGAAGGGAAGAAGAUGACGGUAACUGACUAAGAAGCACCGGCUAACUACGUGCCAGCAGCCGCGGUCAUACGUAGGAGGCGAGCAUUAUCCGGAUUUACUGGGUGUAAAGAGUGGGGUAGGUGGGAUAAGAAGUAGCUAGUGGAGUCCGGGGCCUUAACCAGUGAGACUAUUAGUUAAACUGUGUGGCUGGAGGGGGUGAGAGGCAGGUGGAAUUCCUAGUGUAGCGGUGAAAUGCGUAGAUAUUAGGAGGAACACCAGUGGCGAAGGCAGCCUGCUGGACGAUGACUGACGUUGAGGCUCGAAAGCGUGGGGAGCAAACAGGAUUAGAUACCCUUGUAGUC